rnacentral:tRNA from 1 species
GGCAGUGUGAUCUAGUGGCUAGAGCCCUGGCCCGGGAGUCAGGAGACCUGGAUUCUAUUCUCAGCACUGCCA